rnacentral:rRNA from 1 species
GACAGAGGAUGCAAGCGUUAUCCGGAAUGAUUGGGCGUAAAGCGUCUGUAGGUGGCUUUUUAAGUCCGCCGUCAAAUCCCGAGGCUCAACCCUGGACAGGCGGUGGAACUACCAAGCUGGAGUACGGGUAGGGGCAGAGGGAAUUUCCGGUGGAGCGGUGAAAUGCGUAGAGAUCGGAAAGACACCAACGGCGAAAGCACUCUGCUGGGCCGACACUGACACUGAGAGACGAAAGCUAGGGGAGCGAAUGGG